GUGAAAUCAACAUGGGUGACUUCUCUAAAGAAACCCAAGUGGGCAGAAUUGAGAGUCGAUCGAGCCAUGAGGACGUCAGAGUUGGAGCUAGUGGUUGAUCUCACAGUCUCCUCCAUGGAUAAGAAUAGGAAGGGACGAAGAAGACGAGACGAAAUGAGGAAGAAACAAAGAGAGGAGAAUAAGCUGAGAAAGUAGAAGACAACAUGACUGGGUGAGGAAAAAUAUUGAGAACGAUGGUUAUAUGAGUAGUUUUUUUAUUUGAUGGUAAAAAAA
rnacentral:misc_RNA from 1 species